GAGGCCACCAGCAAUGUAAUAUUGUGUGACCAAUUAAACCUCACCCUUUCGCAUCCACAGGGGUGGAGCUUCCAGCUGCCCAUGGCCUGAACCAGACUUUGCGGCAGCGCGUGCACUAAACAAAGAAAGCGCGAUACGAUUCGGCAAGGAGCGCUCCCUCAUUGCAUCCCUCAACGACCGGCUGGCCGUCCUCAUCGAUGUGGGCCGGUGUCUGGAAGAGGAGAAUGAAUCUUUGGAGGUGCAGAUCCUUGAGCUGAAGGAGCGGAUGGGAGUGGAGGGGGAGGACAUGUCUGCUACCACCACCCAGGGCCCUACAGACUACAGCCUCGAGGCUGUGGUGGAGAGACUGCGCCGUGAGAAGGAGGAGAUUCUGUGUGACACAGAGGACUCGAGGAAGGAGCUGAUACUCCUGCAGGCUAAGUACGACCAGGCGGUGGAGCAGCGCACCCUCAUCCAGCUGGAGAAGGAGGAUGUUGCCGUGGAUGUUGAUGCCGUCACAACCGAUUGUCUGGCACUGAGGGAGCAAGUGGCCAUCUAUGAGGACCAGCUGGCCAAAAUGGAGCAGCAACAUGAGGAGAGGGUCGAGAGUCUGACUGAGCCAGCUGAUGGGGUUCCUGGUGAAGAUGCCCUUGUCUCUUUGGAAUUCCCAGGCUUUGACAUCACCCCUGCUAUCAUGGAUAUCAAGGAGUAUUAUAGUCAGCUGGCAGAGAGCCUGCAGUUUGAGAGCGGCCCGAGAGCGGCCCUCACCGCGGGAGGAGAGGGCAACGGGGCCGCCGGAGCCAAAGCAGCAGGGGUCAAAGUGACAGACGUCUCCAAAGUGACGGACGUGGAUACCCUGAAGACUCUGAUUGCUGAGCUGAGGAAGGAGCUUGCUGAACUGGAGAAGCAGAAUGAGGAGCUGGAGGCAGAGAUCGAGGCCAGGAAAGAGGCUUACCUGCAGGAGAUUGAAGACCUGGAGAACUGUGUGGCGGACCUGAAGGACUCGCAGGCUGACCUUGAGGCUCAGAUGAGGGAGCACUGCAGUGACUAUGAAGAACUCCUGAGUCAGAAGAUGGCCCUGGACAUUGAAAUCGCUGCCUACAGGGGCCUGGUGGAGGAGGAAGAGGAGCGCUUGUACUGCCUGUAAACGGAUGGUGAAACGAGGGAGGAGCGAGGCCCUGACGGAGGAGAGGUGGGACGAGGGGGAGGAAGAGACUGUUGGGGGGUAGGAGACACUCUUCCAUGGAGCGAUGCAGACGAAAAGAACAUGGACAUCAAUAAAAAAGCCAGACAUAUUGCAGCCAUUAAUAUGAUCCUCACUAAG
ensembl:lncRNA